rnacentral:rRNA from 1 species
UACGUAGGUGGCAAGCGUUGUCCGGAUUUACUGGGCGUAAAGGGCGUGCAGGCGGUUUGUUAAGUGCAGGGUGAAAGCUCCCGGCUCAACUGGGAGAGGUCUUUGCAUACUGGCAAACUCGAGGGAGGCAGAGGAAAGUGGAAUUCCCGGUGUAGUGGUGAUAUGCGUAGAUAUCGGGAGGAACACCUGUGGCGAAGGCGGCUUUCUGGGCCUUACCUGACGCUGAGACGCGAAAGCGUGGGGAGCGAACCGG